rnacentral:rRNA from 1 species
UACGUAGGGUGCGAGCGUUAAUCGGAAUUACUGGGCGUAAAGCGUGCGCAGGCGGUUUUGUAAGCCAGAUGUGAAAUCCCCGGGCUUAACCUGGGAAUGGCAUUUGGGACUGCAAGGCUCGAGUGCGGCAGAGGAGACUGGAAUUCCUGGUGUAGCAGUGAAAUGCGUAGAUAUGACAUAGAACACCAAUUGCGAAGGCAGCUUACUACACAAUGAUUGACACUGAGGCACGAAAGCAUGGGGAGCGAACAGG